AAAUAAAAUCAACACACCGAGAUUUAACGUGGGAAAACUCCAACUCGGAGUAAAAAAUCUGCGGGACCAAUCGCACGAAAAAUAAUCCACUAUGAAAAUCGAGUACAAGUGAUUUACCGAAAAUCUACAGCUCAAUUUACCGAAUCCUCGUUAUAGAUCGUCUUCGCCGGUCCUCGAUCGAUCAAAAUCCUUCAACCGAUCAUGCUGCAAAUCCUCGCAGCAAACACGCCUUGAAUC
rnacentral:lncRNA from 1 species